UACGUAGGGUGCAAGCGUUAAUCGGAAUUACUGGGCGUAAAGGGUGCGCAGGCGGUUCUGUAAGUCAGAUGUGAAAUCCCCGGGCUUAACCUGGGAAUUGCGUUUGAAACUACAAGGCUAGAGUGUAGCAGAGGGGGGUGGAAUUCCACGUGUAGCAGUGAAAUGCGUAGAGAUGUGGAGGAACACCGAUGGCGAAGGCAGCCCCCUGGGUUAACACUGACGCUCAGGCACGAAAGCGUGGGGAGCAAACAGG
rnacentral:rRNA from 1 species